UAUGGGAUGGAUUCGUG
rnacentral:misc_RNA from 1 species